rnacentral:misc_RNA from 1 species
GAUGAAGAACGUAGCGAAAUGCGAUAAGUAAUGCGAAUUGCAGAAUUUCCGUGAGUCAUCGAAUCUUUGAACGCACAUUGCGCCCGCCAGUACUCUGGCGGGCAUGCCUGUCUGAGCGUCAUUUCAACCCUCGCACCCGGCUUCUGUCGGGGGCGGUGUUGGGGAUCGGCCUCCCGUCAUCGGGCGGCCGGCCCCGAAAUAGAGUGGCGACCACGCCGUAGCCUCCUCUGCGUAGUAGUGAAACACUCGCGGGCGGAGAGCGGUGCGGCCCGCCGUAAAACCCCCAACUCUUUCUAAGGUUGACCUCAGAUCAGGUAGGAAUACCCGCUGAACUUAAGCAUAUCAAUAAGCGGAGGA